rnacentral:rRNA from 1 species
UUAUGGCUCAGAUUGAACGCUGGCGGCAGGCUUAACACAUGCAAGUCGAGCGGGGAAGAGUAGCUUGCUACUUACCUAGCGGCGGACGGGUGAGUAAUGCUUAGGAAUCUGCCUAUUAGUGGGGGACAACAUCUCGAAAGGGAUGCUAAUACCGCAUACGUCCUACAGGAGAAAGCAGGGGACCUUCGGGCCUUGCGCUAAUAGAUGAGCCUAAGUCGGAUUAGCUAGUUGGUGGGGUAAAGGCCUACCAAGGCGACGAUCUGUAGCGGGUCUGAGAGGAUGAUCCGCCACACUGGGACUGAGACACGGCCCAGACUCCUACGGGAGGCAGCAGUGGGGAAUAUUGGACAAUGGGGGGAACCCUGAUCCAGCCAUGCCGCGUGUGUGAAGAAGGCCCUUUUGGUUGUAAAGCACUUUAAGCGAGGAGGAGGCUACCGAGAUUAAUACUCUUGGAUAGUGGACGUUACUCGCAGAAUAAGCACCGGCUAACUCUGUGCCAGCAGCUGC